GAUGAACGCUGGCGGCGUGCCUAAUACAUGCAAGUCGAGCGAACGGACGAGAAGCUUGCUUCUCUGAUGUUAGCGGCGGACGGGUGAGUAACACGUGGAUAACCUACCUAUAAGACUGGGAUAACUUCGGGAAACCGUAGCUAAUACCGGAUAAUAUUUUGAACCGCAUGGUUCAAAAGUGAAAGACGGUCUUGCUGUCACUUAUAGAUGGAUCCGCGCUGCAUUAGCUAGUUGGUAAGGUAACGGCUUACCAAGGCAACGAUGCAUAGCCGACCUGAGAGGGUGAUCGGCCACACUGGAACUGAGACACGGUCCGGACUCCUACGGGAGGCAGCAGUAGGGAAUCUUCCGCAAUGGGCGAAAGCCUGACGGAGCAACGCCGCGUGAGUGAUGAAGGUCUUCGGAUCGUAAAACUCUGUCAUUAGGGAAGAACAUAUGUGUAAGUAACUGUGCACAUCUUGACGGUACCUAAUCAGAAAGCCACGGCUAACUACGUG
rnacentral:rRNA from 1 species